GACGAACGCUGGCGGCGUGCCUAAUACAUGCAAGUUGAGCGCUGAAGGUUGGUACUUGUACCAACUGGAUGAGCAGCGAACGGGUGAGUAACGCGUGGGGAAUCUGCCUUUGAGCGGGGGACAACAUUUGGAAACGAAUGCUAAUACCGCAUAAAAACUUUAAACACAAGUUUUAAGUUUGAAAGAUGCAAUUGCAUCACUCAAAGAUGAUCCCGCGUUGUAUUAGCUAGUUGGUGAGGUAAAGGCUCACCAAGGCGAUGAUACAUAGCCGACCUGAGAGGGGGAUCGGCCACAUUGGGACUGAGACACGGCCCAAACUCCUACGGGAGGCAGCAGUAGGGGAUCUUCGGCAAUGGACGAAAGUCUGACCGAGCAACGCCGCGGGAGUGAAGAAGGUUUUCGGAUCGUAAAACUCUGUUGGUAGAGAAGAACGUUGGUGAGAGUGGAAAGCUCAUCAAGUGACGGUAACUACCCAGAAAGGGACGGCUAACUACGUG
rnacentral:rRNA from 1 species